GGAAAGGUGGCUCAGAGGUAGAGUGCUUGCCUUGCAUGCAUGAGGCCCUGGGUU
rnacentral:tRNA from 1 species